rnacentral:misc_RNA from 1 species
UCCGGUUUGGCACCGGCAGUCUUCCUAGAGUCCCCGCCGUUACGCGCUGGCAACAUUGGACAGGGGUUGCGCUCGUUGCGCCACUUAAGGCAACACCUCACGGCACGAGCUGACGACAGCCAUGCAGCACCUGUGCAGGCUCCCGAAGGAGCGCCGUGUUUCCACGGCUUCACCCUGCAUGCCAAGUCCUGGUAAGGUUCCUCGCGUUGCGUCGAAUUAAGCCACAUGCUCCGCCGCUUGUGCGGGUCCCCGUCAAUUCCUUUGAGUUUUAAUCUUGCGACCGUACUCCCCAGGCGGGGUGCUUAAUGCGUUUGCUGCGCCACCGAAGAGCAUGCUCCCCGACGGCUAGCACCCAUAGUUUACGGCGUGGACUAC